GGGGGGGGGGGGGGGGGGGGGGGGGGGGGGGGGGUGGGGCGGGGCGGGGGGGGCCGGGCAGGGGGGGACGGGUGGGGAACGCGUAGGGGGCUGGCCUCUGGGGGGGGAUAACCGCUGGGAACGGCUGCUCCGACCGCAUGUGGCUCCGGUUCGAGAGCCGGUCUCCAAGUCACCCAUCGCGAGGUGUGUGUCGCGGGGGGGUGAGCCUGCGUCCUGUUAGCUGGUUGGCUGGGUAGUGGCCGACCAAGGCGCCGAUCGGUAGCUGGUCUGAGAGGGUGAUCAGCCAAACUGGGACUGAGACACGGCCCAGACUCCUACGGGAGGCAGCAGUGGGGAAUAUUGGAAAAUGGGCGCAAGCCUGAUCCAGCAAUGCCGCGUGGGUGAAGAAGGUCUUCGGAUUGUAAAGCCCUUUCGGCGGGGACGAUGGUGACGGUACCCGCAGAAGAAGCCCCGGCUAACUUCGUG
rnacentral:rRNA from 1 species